rnacentral:rRNA from 1 species
UAGUUUGRWUCCUGGCUCAGGAUGAWCGCUAGCGGGAGGCCUAACACAUGCAAGCCGAGCGGUAGAGUAUCUUCGGAUACUUGAGAGCGGCGUACGGGUGCGGAACACGUGUGCAACCUGCCUUUAUCAGGGGGAUAGCCUUUCGAAAGGAAGAUUAAUACCCCAUAAUAUUUAGGAUGGCAUCAUUUUAAAUUGAAAACUGAGGUGGAUAAAGAUGGGCACGCGCAAGAUUAGAUAGUUGGUAGGGUAACGGCCUACCAAGUCGAUGAUCUUUAGGGGGCCUGAGAGGGUGAUCCCCCACACUGGUASUGAGACACGGACCAGACUCCUACGGGAGGCAGCAGUGAGGAAUAUUGGRCAAYGGGKGAGARCCUGAUCCARCCAUCCCGCGUGAAGGACGACGGCCCUAUGGGUUGUAAACUUCUUUUGUAUAGGGAUAAACCUUUCCACGUGKGAAAGMUGAAGGUACWWWU